rnacentral:tRNA from 1 species
AAUAAAGUAAGCUAAAUAAAGCUAGUGGGUUCAUACCCCAAAUAUGAGUUAAAAAUUCCUUUAUUA